ensembl:lncRNA
GAGGAGGAGUGUGGCAGCGGGAGGAGGUAGGGAACUGGUCUGUCUGCCCAAUAUAAAGGAUCACAACUGGAGGAGGAGGGUGGCAGCGGGAGGAGGUAGGGAACUGGUCUGUCUGCCCAAUAUAAAGGAUCAAAUCAAAUCAAAUCAAAUUUAUUUAUAUAGCCCUUCGUACAUCAGCUGAUAUCUCAAAGUGCUGUACAGAAACCCCGCCUAAAACCCCAAACAGCAAGCAAUGCAGGUGUAGAAGCACGGUGGCUAGGAAAAACUCCCUAGAAAGGCCAAAACCUAGGAAGAAACCUAGAGAGGAACCAGGCUAUGAGGGGUGGCCAGUCCUCUUCUGGCUGUGCCGAGUGGAGAUUAUAACAGAACAUGGCCAAGAUGUUCAAAUGUUCAUAAUUGACCAGCAUGGUCAAAUAAUAAUAAUCACAGAGUUGUCGAGGGUGCAGCAAGUCAGCACCUCAGGAGUAAAUGUCAGUUGGCUUUUCAUAGCCGAUCAUUAAGAGUAUCUCUACCACUCCUGCUGUCUCUAGAGAUUUGAAAACAGCAGGUCUGGGACAGCUAGCACGUCUGGUGAACAGGUCAGGAUUCCAUAGCGGCAGACAGAACAGUUGAAACUGGAGCAGCAGCACGGCCAGGUGGACUGGGGACAGCAAGGAGUCAUCAUGCCAGGUAUUCCUGAGGUAUGGUCCUAGGGCUCAGGUCCUCCGAGAGAGAGAGAGAGAAAGAAAGAGAGAAUUAGAGAGAACAUACUUAAAUUCACACAGGACACCGGAUAAGACAGGAGAAGUACUCCAGAUAUAACAAACUGACCCUAGCCCCCCCGACACAUAAACUACUGCAGCAUAAAUACUGGAGGCUGAGACAGGAGGGGUCAGGAGACACUGUGGCCCCAUCCGAGGACACCCCGGACAGCGCCAAACAGGAAGGAUAUAACCCCACCCACUUUGCCAAAGCACAGCCCCCACACCACUAGAGGGAUAGCUUCAACCACCAACUUAUCAUCCUGAGACAAGUUUGAGUAUAGCCCACAAAGAUCUCCGCCACGGCACAACCCAAGGGGGGGCGCUAACCCAGACAGGAAGAUCACAUCAGUGACUCAACCCACUCAAGUGACGCACCUCUCCUACGGACGGCAUGAAAGAGCACCAGUAAGCCAGUGACUCAGCCCCUGUAAUAGGGUUAGAGGCAGAGAAUCCCAGUGGAAAGAGGGGAACCGGCCAGGCAGAGACCGCAAGGGCGGUUCUUUGCUCCAGAGCCUUUCCGUUCCCCUUCACACUCCUGGGCCAGACUACACUCAAUCAUAUGACCCACUGAAGAGAUGAGUCUUUAGUAAAGACUUAAAGGUUGAGACCGAGUCUGC